rnacentral:rRNA from 1 species
AUUGAACGCUGGCGGCAGGCCUAACACAUGCAAGUCGAGCGGAGCGGCAGCCGGGUGAGUAAGGCCAAGGAAUCUGCAUGGUAGCGGGGGAGAACGACCGGAAACGGGCGCUAAUACCGCUUACUCUCAGAUGAGCCUAGGUCGGAUUAGCUAGUUGGAGGGGUAAGGGCAUACCAAGGCGACGACCCGUAACUGGUCUGAGAGGAUGAUCAGUCACACUGGAACUGAGACACGGUCCAGACUCCUACGGGAGUCAGCAGUGGGGAAUAUUGGACAAUGGGCGAAAGCCUGAUGCAGCCAUGCCGCGUGUGUGAAGAAGGUCUUCGGAUUGUAAAGCACUUUAAGUUGGGAGGCGUUACCAACAGAAUAAGCACCGGCUAACUUCGUGCCAGCAGCCGCGGUAAUAC